UGUCUUGUUGGCAGUCACCUACGAGCAGGCGAUAAACACAACACAUUAAAUACAAGAAGUGUGUUCAUUAUCCAUUAAAAGCCUGGGAGAGGGACUACUAAUGUUACACCAUCAAUAUCUAUUUUUAGCCACUUCGGUUUUGGAAGUGUCUCUUCUUUUGGAAGUGGGAGACCAAGUGGAGGGGAAGAACAUGAACAAGGGAUUGAAGCCAUUGAGAAAGUCAUUUAUUCAUUCGAUAGAUAUCUUCUGAGCACUGCGCUAGGACCUAAGGACAGAAUAAUGAAGGCAGAGUUUAUCCUUCCACUAGCACAGCAGUCAAAACCAAUAGGAAUUAAGAUUGUCAGAAGUGACAAAACUGUACAUAGACCUGUUCACAUAACUAACAAGGGAAACGAUGGAGGUGAUGUGGAAGUCUGAACGUGGUGCAGGAAUAACUCAGCCAACAUCCCCCUCCUUUGGGAAAUUUAGAUAGAUGUAGGUAGAUUGAGAAGUGAUAUAACAGUCAUGUGGCAUCAUUGAGAGAGUCAGUUUUCUAUAAUGACAAAGACAUGGAAAGAGAGAUGUUUAGUACAUGUACAGCAGAAGGAGUUGAUUCACAACGCAAUGGAAACAGAAGUCAAGAAGACAGUGAAGUGGAUGAAGCAAGGAGAAAUCAUAAAAACAAGCACACUGGGACUGUCGGACCUCAGGGGAGAGUGACGUGGAUGGUAAACCAAGUUUGGGGCCAGAGAAAAGUGAAAGCUUGUGCUGUUCUUGUUGGUAGUCAUGGGCAGGCUGUAGCAGGGUUAUUAUUAAAACUCUGAUCCCCCAAGUCCAACUGAAGGGGCUCCAGUCACUACCCCAUCAUCUCAGUGGUGAGAUGUAGUCAAGGCAUCUAACCUCUCUGCCUCAGUUUCCUCAUAUGUAAAAUAGAGACAAUCAUUAUAAAGUGUUUAGCAGAAUGCCAGAUCCACAGUAAAUAUCAGUAAAAGGAAAUUUAUAAAUUUGUAAAUUGUUAGGGAAUGGGGUGAGACCCUCAAGAUUCUAAUCUUCAAGGGAAAGAGGAUGCUAAGGAAAGUCAGAGGAAGCCCGAGAAUCCUAAGAGAGGAUGAUACAAGCAAAUUAAUUAAGGAAUAAGAUCAAAGAAUAUUGGGAAAUGUUUAAUCCACUUGGUGUGGGAAAAGGACUUUUUUGUUUGUUUGUUUUUGAGACGGAGUCUUGCUCUGUCGCCCAGGCUGGACUGCAGUGGUGCGUUCUCGGCUCACUGCAAGCUCC
rnacentral:lncRNA from 10 species